UUGGGGAAUUUUCCGCAAUGGGCGCAAGCCUGACGGAGCAAUACCGCGUGAGGGAGGAAGGCUUUUGGGUUGUAAACCUCUUUUCUCAAGGAAGAAGUACUGACGGUACUUGAGGAAUCAGCAUCGGCUAACUCCGUGCCAGCAGCCGCGGUAAUACGGAGGAUGCAAGCGUUAUCCGGAAUUAUUGGGCGUAAAGCGUCCGCAGGUGGUACAUCAAGUCUGCUGUCAAAGACCAGGGCUUAACCCCGGGAAGGCAGUGGAAACUGGUGGACUAGAGUACGGUAGGGGUAGAGGGAAUUCCCAGUGUAGCGGUGAAAUGCGUAGAGAUUGGGAAGAACACCAGUGGCGAAGGCGCUCUACUGGACCCUGUACUGACACUUCAGGGACGAAAGCUAGGGGAGCGAAAGGGAUUAGAUACCCCUGUAGUC
rnacentral:rRNA from 1 species